rnacentral:tRNA from 1 species
AUAGGGCCGCAAAGCCUUAUGCAGCAAGGGGAGGCGGGGGUUCGAAUCCCCCUCUCUCCGCCA